ensembl:lncRNA
AUUUUCAGAAAAUUAGAGGUGGUUGUCAAGAAACCCUCUGUCGUUCAAAGGCAAGCUGGUGAGCCUUUGGGAUGAGUGCCCGUUUGAGGGGCCACCUUGAUUCUUGUUUUUGCAGAGGUCAGAUUAGAUUGCUUCACAACUGGCUCAUCCACCUCCUCCCAUCAGCUGGGUGGGAGAGAGGCUGAGUCUGUGCAGCUCUGGGGUGUGCACAGCUAAAGUGCAGAAGAGAAGCAAGUGUUAAAUGAGUCAGCCAUUCACUGAGCAAACAUCAUUUCAUUUAAAUUACACUGUGCUAUUUUAUCUUGACCCGCAACCCAAUGCAACUCAUUGUAAUACAUUAUCACAUACAAGAUAGUUGGCUCAUUAAUAAUACCCCAGGAAGGAGACAGGGGUAAACAAUGAAAACUCCCACACAUUAGCACCAUAAUGUACUACAGUAUUUUUCUUUCCUUUCAUCAGAAUCCUCCAUGUAAUUAAAUCCCAAGUAAGUCAGCAAACAAAUCCCUCAGCUUCUUUUAUUGUACUUUUUUUUUCUGAAGUGAAUUAGUUAUUUUUCAUACUAAGUAGCAACUAAGCACAAGUCCUAGAUGGAGAUGAACAUUUUCCUACAGACAAUAAAUAUUCAUUGAGUGCUUGUGAUAAGCAAGGCAUCAGCACUCUGGAGUUGCAGCAGUAAAGACACAUUGCUGAUAAAUGCUGCGAUGAAUGCCAACCUGGAUGAAGGAAUAGAGAGCAUUUGGGUGGAAAGUGAAAGCCUCAUUAAGGAACAUACAGCCAGGGUUAAAAGAAGACUUACUCCAUCCAAGGAAUCUUUUAUAGAUGAGCAGAGGAUUUGGCGUUAUAGGUGGAUUCUUUACUGCUGAGCCACCGGGGAAGAUCCCAGACAGAGAUGCAGCCUUCCUCAAAAGUAUCCUCAGGUUUUCAUUGGUUCAACAUAAGUGGCUGCUCCAGACUUUGAACAUCUUCAGUGAAACCUUGUGAGAAGGUUUAACCUUUCUCUGGUCACGUAUCAAAACUCCAAGUGAAUUGGAACACUUAGAACAUAACUAUUCUGACAGGAGGCACUAUUUCAAGGUAUGAAAAUGAGUUUUGCAUGUAGUUUUGCAUUAUUGUUCCAGGACAUAUUAGAUUCAUAACACUGGACUUAAAGAAAAAAUCUAUAACUCUCAAACUUCUUCAUAGAAUGAGAAGUACAAAUGGUCUCUUCAAGGCUGUUGUGUUGUUUAAUCAGAUAGCAUCUGAGAUUCCUUGUUGUUUUGUUCUUAACAUGUUAAAAUGGUAUUUAACUAGUUUUGGCUAAUCUAUGACUAAUGUUUGGGCUUCCCAAGUGGGAAGAAUCUGCCUACCAAUGCAGGAGAUGUGGGUUUGAUUCCUGAGUCAGAAAGAUCCCCUGGACGAGGAAAUGGCAAUCCUCUCCAGUAUUUUUGCCUAGUGAAUCCCAUGGACAGAGGAGCCUGGUGGGCUACAAUCCACAGAGUUGCAAAGAGUCGGACACGACCAGACGCACACAUACACACCUGUCUGAUGUUAUAUAUAUAAUAGUAUAUAUGACCCUAUGUGC